UACGGGGGGAGCAAGCGUUGUCCGGAAUCAUUGGGCGUAAAGAGCGUGUAGGCGGCUCGGUAAGUCCGCUGUGAAAGUCCAGGGCUCAACCCUGGAAUGCCGGUGGAUACUGUCGGGCUAGAGUCCGGAAGGGGCGAGUGGAAUUCCUGGUGUAGCGGUGAAAUGCGCAGAUAUCAGGAGGAACACCAAUGGCGAAGGCAGCUCGCUGGGACGUGACUGACGCUGAGACGCGAAAGCGUGGGGAGCAAACAGG
rnacentral:rRNA from 1 species